UGAGACACGGCCCAGACUCCUACGGGAGGCAGCAGUGGGGAAUAUUGCACAAUGGAGGAAACUCUGAUGCAGCAAUGCCGCGUGUGUGAAGAAGGCCUUAGGGUUGUAAAGCACUUUCAGACGUGAGGAAAAGUUAUCUAUUAAUACUAGGUAGCCCUGACGUUAACGUCAGAAGAAGCACCGGCUAACUCCGUGCCAGCAGCCGCGGUAAUACGGAGGGUGCAAGCGUUAAUCGGAAUUACUGGGCGUAAAGCGCGCGUAGGCGGUUAAAUAAGUCAGAUGUGAAAUCCCUGGGCUCAACCUAGGAACUGCAUUUGAAACUGUUUGGCUAGAGUAUGGUAGAGGUGAGUGGAAUUUCAGGUGUAGCGGUGAAAUGCGUAGAGAUCUGAAGGAACAUCAGUGGCGAAGGCGACUCACUGGGCCAUUACUGACGCUGAGGUGCGAAAGCGUGGGUAGCAAACAGGAUUAGAUACCCUGGUAGUCCACGCCCUAAACGAUGUCAACUAGGUGUGUGAGAGUCUAACUCUUGCGUAUCGAAGCUAACGCGAUAAGUUGACCGCCUGGGGAGUACGGCCGCAAGGCUAAAACUCAAAUGAAUUGACGGGGGCCCGCACAAGCGGUGGAGCAUGUGGUUUAAUUCGAUGCAACGCGAAGAACCUUACCUGGUCUUGACAUGUAGCGAAAGUUAGAGAGAUCUGACUGUGCCUUCGGGAACGCUAACACAGGUGCU
rnacentral:rRNA from 1 species